GCACAGCAACGGGUGGAGCGUGCGGUUUAAUUGGAUUCAACGCCGGAAAUCUCACCGGAGGCGACGGUUAUAUGAAGGCCAGGCUGAUGACCUUGCCUGAUUUUCCGAGAAGUGGUGCAUGGCCGUCGUCAGUUCGUACCGUGAGGCGUUCUGUUAAGUCAGACAACGAACGAGACCCUCAUCUUUAGUUGCUACUGGUAAGUCCGCUUACUAGGCACACUAAAGAAACCGCUGGCGAUAAGUCAGAGGAAGGUGAGGGCAACGGUAGGUCAGUAUGCCCCGAAUCCUCCGGGCUACACGCGCGCUACAAAGGCUAGGACAAUGGGUUUCAACACCGAAAGGUGACGGUAAUCCCGAAACCUAGUCGUAGUUCGGAUUGAGGAUUGAAACUCAUCCUCAUGAAGCUGGAAUCCGUAGUAAUCGCGGGUCAACAUCCCGCGGUGAAUAUGCCCCUGCUCCUUGCACACACCGCCCGUCAAACCAUGCGAGUUGGGCCUGAGUGAGGAUAUAGUCUUUGCUAUGUUCGAACUUUGACUUAGUAAGCGGGGUU
rnacentral:rRNA from 1 species